UACGAAGGGGGCUAGCGUUGCUCGGAAUUACUGGGCGUAAAGGGCGCGCAGGCGGCUAUCUUUGUCAGGCGUGAAAGCCCUGGGCUUAACCUGGGAAUGGCGCUUGGGACGGGGUGGCUAGAGAUCGGGAGAGGAGAGUGGAAUUCCCAGUGUAGAGGUGAAAUUCGUAGAUAUUGGAAAGAACACCGGUGGCGAAGGCGGCCCGCUGGGCAGGAAGAGAGGGGCAACCCUCUCGGCUGACGCUGAGGCGCGACAGCGUGGGGAGCAAACAGG
rnacentral:rRNA from 1 species